UAUACUAAAUGGAGCCUGCAAAGAAAUAUGUAAUAUGUGGGUAUGCUUGAUAUUGUGCUCUUGACUAGUGCUUCCUUCCCCCUUUUGAUGAAUGUCUCUUUUGUCACCCUACUAGUCACCUUUCAAAUCUUUUAGUUACUGAAUCUCACACAACUUGCCCUAAUUUGAAACACCCAAUGGCAAUCCUAGGCUAUUUUGCUCGGACUCUUCUAAAAUGUCAAGGGGUGCGUGUCGGAUUCGUCAAAAGUAGUGUAAUUUUGGAGAAUUCGACACGGGUGCGGCAUCGAAAGUGAAGAGUCCGUGCAACUUAGAUCCUAGGUAUAUGGUAAGGAGAGUUUUAUACGUACAAUUGCACUUGUGCUAGGUGUUCAACAUUGUCCACCUCAUCCACGAAAAUGAUAUCACUUUUUAAGUGUUGAUCGUGAGCUUUAACACUACUUGGAAUUAUAUGAAGGUCUAUUUCAAGGAACUCAACUAGAAAAUAUCUUAACAUAUAUCCCCAUUAGAUAUACACUGGUAUGUCAUCAGCAAAUAAUAGGUGUGUGACCAUCAGUCCAUUACGCAACUAUGUUCACUAAUCAAGGCUGAGAAACUCUAACCUCCCGUCACAACUUCAUCUAUCAUCCUACUUAAGACUUCCAUCAUCAAAUUGUACAACAGAGAAAAUAAUGGACCCCUUACCCCAAGCCUCACGAGCUUGUCCACCUGCAAUUGAGAACUUGUAUGAGGUGGUCAACAUGUCCACCUCGUCCACUGAAAUGAUCUUAAUUUUUAGUGUUGAUCUUCAACUUUGACACUACUUUGAAUUAUAUGAAGGUCUGAUUCAAGGAAAACAACAAGAAAAUAUCUUCAUCACAUAUGCACUAGUAUGUUAAACUGAAAAAAUCUUCAAAUAACCUCCUAUCACAGUGUCAUCAAUCAUCUUAUUUCAAACUUCCAUCACCAAAUUGAAUGGUAUAGGAAAUAACAAGGUCACUUAAGUUACACCACUCGAGCUUUCCAUUUGCUCUUAUUCCAUAAUAAUAAAGCACUUCCCUCACUCAAUAUUAUUAGACAUUAAUGUGUUGUACUUAACCAUCAUCCCCACAAACACACACACACAUAUCUCAUUAUUGCAUUUGUCAUGAGCUCCAUUAAUGUAGUUUCUUGAAAGUGUAGUAGAUUCACCUCCCAUUUUCUAACACCUACUUGGAUGAUGGCCCUUUUUGUUUCUAUCACCCAACCCCCUUACAAAAAAUAUCUUUAUAUAUCAAUAGCUUAUAUAUCCUUACAACAGUAUCCCCUUUCCACUUCCAUCAUUCUCCUCAUAGUCACCCAUAUCUCCUUUCGUACACUAUAAUUUUACCUCUUCCUCCACAUGGUUUGGCCAACCUAGUAUCCCACCCCCCUUUCAUCUCCUCUAACUCUUCUUGCCUUUUCUUGCCUUUUGAAAUAUCAAUUAGCGACUCUACAACCAUAUCCUCCUUUCUUUAAAAAGAAUCCCCUAGAACUCCCCAAAGUUGAGGAAUCGUUUCCACACCCACUUUGUCAUUCCCCUCCACCCUUCAUUGAUGGCUAAAGGUUGGCCAGUUUCAUCUAUGUUCC
rnacentral:lncRNA from 1 species